rnacentral:tRNA from 1 species
CCAGCUGUGGGCCAGUGGCCAGGCCGCCUCGUUCGGGAUGAGGACGACGGGGGUUCGAGUCCCCCCAGCUGGACCA